UAUGUAGGUGGCUAGCGUUGUCCGGAUUUACUGGGCGUAAAGAGCGCGCAGGCGGUCGUUCAAGUCGAGUGUGAAAGCCCCCGGCUCAACUGGGGAGGGUCACUCGAUACUGAUCGACUUGAAGGCGGGAGAGGGAAGCGGAAUUCCCGGUGUAGUGGUGAAAUGCGUAGAUAUCGGGAGGAACACCAGUGGCGAAGGCGGCUUUCUGGACCGUAACUGACGCUGAGACACGAAAGCGUGGGGAGCGAACAGG
rnacentral:rRNA from 1 species